rnacentral:rRNA from 1 species
UACGGGAGGCAGCAGUGGGGAAUAUUGCACAAUGGGCGAAAGCCUGAUGCAGCUAUGCCGCGUGUAUGAAGAAGGCCUUAGGGUUGUAAAGUACUUUCAUCGGGGAGGAAAAACAAAACUAAUAAUUUUAUUUCUUGACGUUACCCGAAAAAGAAGCACCGGCUAACUCCGUGCCAGCAGCCGCGGUAAUACGGAGGGUGCUAGCGUUAAUCAGAAUUACUGGGCGUAAAGAGCACGUAGGUGGUUUUUUAAGUCAGAUGUGAAAUCCCUGGGCUUAACCUAGGAACUGCAUUUUUGAAACUGAAAUACUAGAGUAUCGUAGAGGGAGGUAGAAUUCUAGGUGUAGCGGUGAAAUGCGUAGAUAUCUGGAGGAAUACCUGUGGCGAAAGCGGCCUCCUAAACGAAUACUGACACUGAGGUGCGAAAGCGUGGGGAGCAAACAGGGAUUAGAUACC